rnacentral:tRNA from 1 species
GACUCGGUGGCGCAACGGUAGCGCGUCUGACUCCAGAUCAGAAGGUUGUGCGUUCGAAUUACGUCCGGGUCA